AGCAGGGCCUCCCAGCAGGAUGGAGGACCCUGGAGAGGGAUGAGGCCACAGCCAGAACAGGGCCCCAGCAGGGGAAGCAGGAAAAUUCUUUCUCCUCCUGCCUGGGUGUGGUGGGCAGGGCAGAGCAGGGCAACGGAGGGAGCUGGCAAUUACUUUAGGGGGAAGGGAGGCCACUAGAAUAACUCGCCAAAGAAGUGUUUGUUCCUGCCUUCAUUUUAUAGUUGGGAAUACUGAAUGAAGUUGGCACAGCAAGCAGGUGGACGGACCAAGAUUUGAAUUCUGGCCAGGGGCUGCCAGCCUGAGGGCGCUAGCCAUUAGCUCACACUGCCCCCCAGCAGUAGGCGGUGCUUAGAGCUGUGAGGGGCGGGGCAGUGCGCCAGCCCCUCCCUCAGCAUGCUGUUGCUCCACCUCCUCCUCCUUCCUUUUAGAGCUCAGUGGGGCUGAACUUGAUCCUGUUCUUGAUGGCAGGGGAGGAAAUGUUACCCACCAAAAAGCUCGGCCCCCUCUGAGGCUCUGACUGUGACUUACUCUUAUCAGCUCCUGGAGCCUCCAAAUUCUAGAUCUGAAAGAGACCCCCCAGUUUCUCUGGACCAAAUCUCUCAUUGUCCGGAGGAGAAACUGAGGCCCAGACUCGUUUCUAGGAAUAGAACUCAGGCCUCCUUGUGGGCUCCUCCCAGGGUGGCCUGAGCCCCCUCUACUCCCAGAGCCCGUCAUUAUGGUCCCUCAUACCCCAGGAGACCACAGUCCUGGGUCCUCGUCCAUCUAUGCAGCCGUUCCCUGGGCUGCUCUUUGGCCCCACUCUCCUGGGUCAGGAUGCCCUCCCACACUCUAGGUCAAGAAAGAAAUUGGGUUGGUGGCCACAUGACCAGCCCUCUGGGAGGAGAGCCUGUUUUCAAGUAGAGGCCCCAAGGACUGCCAUGUGCACCAGUGGUCGGGGCAGGGUGGCCACUUUCCUCUGUCCAGUUCCCAACUCAGGCUCUGGGAGAUGCGCCUGCAGCCCAGAGGCCCUCUGAAGUUUCCGGAAGAGUCAUGGGGUGGGGACUGCCCACAGGAAGGGCUUCUAGCAGUACCCGGGGCAGCUGGAGCCUUGCUUUGGAGGUGCUGGAUGCUGGUGAGGCCAGGGGCAGGCGGCUCUGAGCCCUUUUCCGGCCCCUUCCCUGGAGUUCUGCUUGGCAACCACCCGUCUGCAUUUUUGCAAAGUGAAGUCAUCUGCAGAUAAUGGGUUUUCCGUUCCUGGUGGAGCAGGAGUUCCAGACAUGGGGCUCUGGGGGAGGUUCUCAAGACAGCUGAUUGUCCAUCCCUUAGUCCCAUCUGGAAAAAGCAGGCUCAUGGAGCUUGGCUGUCUGAACGCCGAGGGCUGUGUCUGCAGGAAUCUGGAGUCACGACGUUCCCUCCAACAUCGGAAUGGGCACGGCCAAUGUUUCCUUUCCUGUUACAUGACUCCUUGGAAUGUCCACCCCGGGAGGCAGUCCGUGGGCAGGCGGAAUGCAGUGGGAAGAAGCUCUGCCCAGGCCACGGGCCAGCUCGGCUUCUGACUGCUGUGUGACUGGGAGCAUCGCUGUGUUCCUCUCUGGGCCUUGAUUUCCCUGCCUGCAGAGUGGGGGAGCGGCAGUUCUCAAUCUGGCUUCCCUGGACCACCCGCAUCAGAUUCACUGAAGCAAAGUGUUCAAAAUGCACACUCCUGGUUCUUCUCUCAGACCUCCUGAAGUUUUUAUGAACUUCCAAGUGACUUGAUGUGGACAACUUUUAGGACCCACAGUGCCCAGGACUCUGAAGUCCCCUCCUUCCAGAUGUCCACUUUGAACACCUUAUGGUCUUGCAGAUUCUCCCCCCGGCACCACCACCAUAACCGAGUGUGAGGGUCUCGCCUGAGGCGAGAGGGUGGAAUUACGUGGUGGGAGAGAAACUGUCUGCUUUCCAGCUCUUGUCAGGGUCCCGAGGUCCUCGAUCCAACUGAAGUCACUGUUAAAGCACUUAUUUCUCCGCUGGUGAAAUUCUAGCUGCUAGUUACAGAGUUUGGUCUCAAAAUUGUGCCAUUUAUUAUUUUUGUUGGAUCGGCUUGUAAACCGGUGCACAGUCAAA